UACGUAGGGUGCAAGCGUUAAUCGGAAUUACUGGGCGUAAAGCGUGCGCAGGCGGUUAUGUAAGACAGAUGUGAAAUCCCCGGGCUCAACCUGGGAACUGCAUUUGUGACUGCAUAGCUAGAGUACGGUAGAGGGGGAUGGAAUUCCGCGUGUAGCAGUGAAAUGCGUAGAUAUGCGGAGGAACACCGAUGGCGAAGGCAAUCCCCUGGACCUGUACUGACGCUCAUGCACGAAAGCGUGGGGAGCGAACAGG
rnacentral:rRNA from 1 species